GCUAACCUGCCCUCGGGACGGGGAUAACCCCGGGAAACUGGGGCUAAUCCCCGAUAGGCGAGGGGGCCUGGAACGGUCCCUCGCCGAAAGGGACCUCAGGGGGUUAUCGCCUGGGGUCCGCCUGAGGAUGGGGCCACGGCUCAUCAUGGUAGUUGGCGGGGUAAUGGCCCGCCAAGCCGACGACGGGUAGGGGCCGUGGGAGCGGGAGCCCCCAGAUGGGCCCUGAGACAAGGGCCCAGGCCCUACGGGGCGCACCAGGCGCGAAACCUCCGCAAUGCGGGAAACCGUGACGGGGUCACCCCGAGUGCCCCCGUAAGGGGGCUUUUCCCCGCUGUAAGGAGGCGGGGGAAUAAGCGGGGGGCAAGUCUGGUGUCAGCCGCCGCGGUAAUACCAGCCCCGCGAGUGGUCGGGACUCUUGCUGGGCCUAAAGCGCCCGUAGCCGGCCCGGUAAGUCCCUCCUUAAAGCCCCGGGCUCAACCCGGGGAGCGGGGGGAUACUGCCGGGCUAGGGGGCGGGAGAGGCCGGGGGUACCCCAGGGGUAGGGGCGAAAUCCGAUAAUCCCUGGGGGACCACCAGUGGCGAAGGCGCCCGGCUGGAACGCGCCCGACGGUGAGGGGCGAAAGCCGGGGGAGCGAACCGGAUUAGAUACCCGGGUAGUCCCGGCUGUAAACGAUGCGGGCCAGGUGUCGGGCGGGCGUUAGAGCCCGCCCGGUGCCGCAGGGAAGCCGUUAAGCCCGCCGCCUGGGGAGUACGGCCGCAAGGCUGAAACUUAAAGGAAUUGGCGGGGGGGCACACAAGGGGUGGAGCCUGCGGCUCAAUUGGAGUCAACGCCGGGAACCUCUACCGGGGGCGACAGCAGGAUGACGGCCAGGCUAACGACCUUGCCCGACGCGCUGAGGGGAGGUGCAUGGCCGUCGCCAGCUCGUGCUGUGAAGUGUCCUGUUAAGUCAGGCAACGAGCGAGACCCCCGCCCCUAGUUGCGACCCUGCGGGCGACCGCGGGGGCACACUAGGGGGACUGCCGCCGCUAAGGCGGAGGAAGGAGGGGGCCACGGCAGGUCAGCAUGCCCCUAAACCCCCGGGCUGCACGCGGGCUACAAUGGCGGGGACAGCGGGAUCCGACCCCGAAAGGGGGA
rnacentral:rRNA from 1 species